CACAUCGAAGGGACUAUUAUCCACCCGCUCGGUGCCAGUCCUUCUCCUACCGUUGCCGAGGUCCGUCCCGUCCGCUCGCUCGCAAUCAAUAUGAACACGCAUACGCCUCCCGUCCCCCGCCAGGACUCACAACGGAGGCUGGCACCAUUACUUGCAACACUCACACAUCGGAACCUCAGAAGGUGCCGAAAAAAAACCUUCUCGCCAAACAGGAUCGAACGGGAGAUUCAAAGGGUGGUGGCGGUGGCGGUGGCGGUGGCUGUGAUCUUAACAUUUCCGAUGUUCUGUACCUGACCGAUGUGGAUUCCGAGGCUUUGUGUCUUCAUCCCCUCCACCACCAGUGACAGGACCACUUGCCUCCACGUCCUGUCCGUAACACUGACCAGGAUCCGAGCGUAAGCUCGCAUGAAUGAGUGAAGACAACAGCCACGAGAAUGGAGCACCCUGUAGCCGUCGUGUGCCAUGUGCCUUACAGACGCCCACUUUAGAGGGAGAAAACUGAGCUCGAGAAUUCAAACCACUGAAAAAAAUUAUUGACACCUACGAACUGUCUAUGACUCUACAGCGUCCCGGAAGCGUGAGAGAUCGUCAAGGUGGCUCGUUGUGACGUGACAUCCUAGAAAUGUGCAAGUAGACCACUAUGACUUAAACACCAAAUGCAAUUUUCAUCUCGCCCUCCGUUAGUGUAUCACUGAUUCUUAACUGGACUCCUGCUUGAACGCUGCCUUUCACCAGAUACCGUUGUCUUCCAUGUAAUACCGCUGUCUCUCUCCAUGAACUACUCUCCCACCUGUCAUGUUGUCUACUCAUGGUGGCGGUUCUCUGCUAUGUUUUAGCUCGUUAGCGGAUGUAUAUACUUUUAUCCUUGCGAAUCAGUUUUCCACACGAAAUCCUCUAAGAUUAUGUGAAAAGAUCUCAAUGAAAUUCCGAAACAGAGGGAUCUUGCCAAGCAAUAAUGAAUAAGCAUUUGAUAUAGGUGGCAUAAGUAUGUUCGUGUUGUGCCAAGUCGCUUUCAAGCUCACCCUAACAUCCUAAAAGCAUGCAGAGAAUAUCAAAAUAUAGGUUCUGUCAACGAAAAUGCAUGCUAGCUACGUAGUAUAUUUAUGAUGUUGACGGAAAUAUGCGCUCUUAGAGUGCCUUUUGGUCUUCCUAUCUGCGUCUUCUCAUCUACAAAACAGAGUGCCGUCUUCCUUAGGGUAUCGUUAGUUUUCAUCCCGUGUCGAAGAACGCCGCUUUUCUGCCUGCAAACUUCAUGUCGUGCUUCCAAGAGAUCUUCCAUCGAAUGUUCGGUAUAACUGAGGUUAUUCCUUCCAGACUGAGACGUUGAAUAGAACUAAACUUGUCAUUCACUAUGAAGUAACUAAUUUCACCUGUUAUGUACAGAAUUGCACUGUCACUGAGUCGUUUUUACUCUAUGUGCGUGAAAUUAUAUCACUUGUAUUGUCUCUAAACCUGAUUCUUGACGUAAACCGUGUAUUACGUAAUAAAGAAAAAAAAUAUACGUAGAAAACGUUA